rnacentral:rRNA from 1 species
AUUGAACGCUGGCGGCAUGCCUUACACAUGCAAGUCGAACGGCAGCGCGGGAGCAAUCCUGGCGGCGAGUGGCGAACGGGUGAGUAAUAUAUCGGAACGUGCCCAGUAGUGGGGGAUAGCCCGGCGAAAGCCGGAUUAAUACCGCAUGAGACCUGAGGGUGAAAGCGGGGGAUCGCAAGACCUCGCGCUACUGGAGCGGCCGAUAUCAGAUUAGCUAGUUGGUGGGGUAAAGGCCUACCAAGGCAACGAUCUGUAGUUGGUCUGAGAGGACGACCAGCCACACUGGGACUGAGACACGGCCCAGACUCCUACGGGAGGCAGCAGUGGGGAAUUUUGGACAAUGGGCGCAAGCCUGAUCCAGCAAUGCCGCGUGCGACGGAAGGAAAGGACCGUCCGGUUGGUUAACGUAACGUCGUUUACGUUUCGUUACGGGUAAGGGAAAAGUAACCC